GACGGAAGGUGCAAGCGUUGCUCGGAAUCACUGGGCGUAAAGGGUGCGUAGGCGGCCGUGCAAGUCUGGCGUGAAAGCCCCGGGCUCAGCCCGGGAAGUGCGCUCGAAACUGCGCGGCUAGAGUGCCGGAGGGGAGAGUGGAAUUCCUGGUGUAGCGGUGAAAUGCGUAGAUAUCAGGAGGAAUACCGGUGGCGAAAGCGACUCUCUGGACGGCAACUGACGCUGAGGCACGAAAGCGUGGGGAGCAAACAGG
rnacentral:rRNA from 1 species